CUGGGGGAGCGGGGCCCUGCGGCCGCCCGAGGCAAGGCGAGGCCGAGCAGGCCGGGCUUCCCGCGCCGCCCGCGGUGUGGGGAGGCCCCGGGAGGGCUGCGGGGCUGUUGGAGGCCGCCCUCCCACGCGGGAGGAGCGGUGUGGUGUGUCCGGGGGGAGGCCGGCGGCGGUGGUCCUCCUCCUCAUCUCCCCACGCCCCCCAAUAAAUAAACAAAUAAAUAAAUUCCCCCAAAACGAUGAAAACCCCACUAAGAAGUUGCCUCGUCUGGCAGGCGCGGUGUGGGUGUGCUCUGUGAAGGGAGCCUCGGGUUGCUGAGGGAAGGCUCCUUUCCACCCGUAAUUGCAGAGCGGAGUUGCGGCAUUGGUGCAGCUAGCCUAAAUCUGCGACAGGGAUUUUUUAAUAUCUUUUUUUCUGGAAUACCCACAAAGAUCAAAAAGUAGAGUAUGGCCUUUAUCUAAUACUUUAAUUCUAACGUGAUACUUUAGUCAUUUUAGUUCACAGCCAGCCUCCUUGAAGAAAUUAGGACAUAUUACUAACACUUGUUCCAUUUGCUUUUUCUUCCUGGUUUAGUAUUUUUUAUCUCAGCUUAAAAGGUGGAUAUAAGCAGCCAAGGAGAGGGAGACAGGUCCAGCAACAGCCAAAGCCGUAGGUCCCCCAAAUCACCUAAGCAUUGCUUUACAAAUGGAGUAUCACACGCAGUUUAAGCAAGCUAAAAUUUUGUUGCAGCUGAAAAUAGCAGUCCUGAGUCCCUCCACCUUCAGCCAUGCAGUCCCUCUGCCUCGUUUUUCUACUUCAGCAGGAAUGCUAGCACGAUCAAACUAACUGAAACACCCAUCCAAAUGAAAAAGUUCUCUGUAUGGCUAGGAGAAAUACUGAUGCACAGGAGACAGCAGGAACAAGUGGCAGGGGGAAUUGUGGGACCACCCCAUUGAGUAGCAGCGCGGUGUUAGGUUAGAUUAAAUCGUCCAUGAAAUUGCACCUUGAAGUGGUGGUAGGUGUCUGGGAGCACCAUGAUUUAAGCAGUCAUUUCUCAUUCCCCUCAGCCCCAGAAAGAUUGAGAGGUCAUUUUGAGCUGCUUUUGACACUUCUCCGUUUGCCUUCAAGUAUGACCAGAAUAAAGUUCUUAUCCCAGGAUGAGGAAAGCCAACACACAUGUUCUGCAGUGUAAUGAAGGCCCACAGGAUUGCCUGCUUCUACCCAGGGACUCCCAAUAUUUGCAUGAAGAACUGCCAUAUUGGGAACUUAAAACUCAUCUAGUUUGGUAUCUGGUUUCCAGAAGCAGCCAACAGAGGAUGCACAAGGAAGAGCUUACGAACAAGGUAAGCCUGUUGUGCCCAAGCACUCCCAAUGUCCAGCAAUUUGUGGUUUGGAGGCUUCUGCAGUGUGGAUGUUUAGGUUCAUCUGUUAGCAGAGUUCUUCUAGCUGAGUUCUGGUUCAGGCUCAGCAAAACAACAGCUGAAGUUCCAAGUCAAGUUCGG